UCAUCGUCACUGCAAAAGGAUCAUUAAUACCAGGGGGAAAGGAACCAAUAAAUUGAUCGGAUCCGAUAUGAAGUUCCCAGUAACGGAGAACCUCUAACCUGCUAACUUUGAGUGGCAUGGUCAGUCAACUGAUUAGUUGCAUGGCUGAUUACCAGUUUACUGGCGACCCAGUAAUUUUCCAUAUAACAGUGGCCUGUACCCUUGGGGUCUUCUUCUGACCGGCAAUCAUGUGAAAACCUUAGCAGUAAUGAAAGUGGAACGUCCAGUGGGCUGUGCUCAGCCACGUCCGAAUGGGGACGUUGAAUUCUUGCAACAACUCUUCGAGUGGACUGUAAGUAGCCUGGUAUUAGGCCAAUUUUCUGUCCUUCCUUUUUCAUAGGCAGUCGAAAUUUUCCGACCGUAUCACGGGCGGUCUCAAUUACAAGACCUACAUGUACCUAUCAUAUAUUAUUCGGUACGUCAGACACACCCGACAUUAAUCAACCAAAAACUCAAUAUUUUACAGUAGGGAAUGAAUAUCUCCCACGUUCUCUUGUCCCUUGAAGGAUCAAUAUUGAAUUUCUUCCAAUCGCCCCCCCCCCCC